GGGGUUGUGGCUCAGCGGUAGAGUGCUCGCCGAGCAUGUGUGAGUCCUGGGUUCUAUCCUCAGCACCACA
rnacentral:tRNA from 1 species